GACGAACGCUGGCGGCGUGCCUAAUACAUGCAAGUCGAGCGAACAGACGAGGAGUUUGCUCCCCUGACGUUAGCGGCGGACGGGUGAGAAACAUGUGGAUAACCCAUCUAUAAGACUGGGAUAACUUCGGGAAACUGGCGCAUAUACCGGAAUAUUUAUUGAUCCGUAUGGUUUACUAGAGAAAUACGGUUUUGUCGUUACCUGUUGAUGGUUCCGCGUCUCAUUUGCUUGUUGGUAGGGUAACGGCUUACCAAGGCAAUGAUGCGCAGCCGACCUGAGAGGGUGAUCGGCCACACUGGAACUGAGACACGGUCCAGACUCCUACGGGAGGAAGAGGUAGGGAAUCUUCGGCAAUGGGCGAAAGCCUGACGGAGCAACGCCGCGUGAGUGAUGAAGGUCUUCGGAUCGUAAGACUCUGUUAUUGGGGAAGAACAAAUGUGUAAGUAACUAUGCACGUCUUGACGGUACCUAAUCAGAAAGCCACGGCUAACUACGUG
rnacentral:rRNA from 1 species